UACGUAGGGUGCGAGCGUUGUCCGGAAUUAUUGGGCUUAAAGCGCGUGUAGGCGGGACGGCACGUCGGUCGCUGAAAGCCCCCGGCUCAACCGGGGAACGGGCGCCGAUACGACCGGCCUGGAGGGACGUAGGGGGACCUGGAACUUCCGGUGGAGCGGUGAAAUGCGUUGAGAUCGGAAGGAACGCCCGUGGCGAAAGCGAGGUCCUGGACGUUUUCUGACGCUGAGACGCGAAAGCCAGGGGAGCGAACGGG
rnacentral:rRNA from 1 species